rnacentral:rRNA from 1 species
ACGGAAGGCAGCAGUGGGGAAUAUUGCACAAUGGGGGAAACCCUGAUGCAGCGACGCCGCGUGAGUGAAGAAGUAUUUCGGUAUGUAAAGCUCUAUCAGCAGGAAAGAAAAUGACGGUACCUGACUAAGAAGCCCCGGCUAACUACGUGCCAGCAGCCGCGGUAAUACGUAGGGGGCAAGCGUUAUCCGGAUUUACUGGGUGUAAAGGGAGCGUAGACGGCUUUGCAAGUCUGAAGUGAAAGCCCGGGGCACAACCCCGGAACUGCUUUGGAAACUGUAGAGCUAGAGUGCAGGAGAGGUAAGUGGAAUUCCUAGUGUAGCGGUGAAAUGCGUAGAUAUUAGGAGGAACACCAGUGGCGAAGGCGGCUUACUGGACUGUAACUGACGUUGAGGCUCGAAGGCGUGGGGAGCAAACAGGAUUAGAUACCCUGGUA